rnacentral:rRNA from 1 species
UGGGGAAUUGUUCGCAAUGGGCGCAAGCCUGACGACGCAACGCCGCGUGAAGGAUGAAGGUCUUCGGAUUGUAAACUUCUGUUGGGUGGGACGAACACCUCCGGGAUCAAUACCCCUGGAGGCUGACGGUACCACCUGAGGAAGCCCCGGCUAACUCUGUGCCAGCAGCCGCGGUAAUACAGAGGGGGCAAGCGUUGUUCGGAAUUACUGGGCGUAAAGGGCGCGUAGGCGGCCUAUUAAGUCAGACGUGAAAUCCCUCGGCUCAACCGGGGAACUGCGUCUGAUACUGGUGGGCUUGAGUUCGGGAGAGGGAUGUGGAAUUCCAGGUGUAGCGGUGAAAUGCGUAGAUAUCUGGAGGAACACCGGUGGCGAAGGCGGCAUCCUGGACCGACACUGACGCUGAGGCGCGAAAGCCAGGGGAGCAAACGGG